AGAGUUUGAUCCUGGCUCAGGAUGAACGCUAGCGGCAGGCUUAACACAUGCAAGUCGAGGGGUAAUCACGCUUUCGAGCGUGAACGACCGGCGCACGGGUGCGUAACGCGUAUACAAUUUACCUUAAACUGGGAGAUAGCCCGAAGAAAUUUGGAUUAAUAUCCCAUAUCUUUUAUAGAUGGCAUCAUUUAUAAAAUAAAGUUUCGACGGUUUAAGAUGAGUAUGCGUCCUAUUAGCUAUUAUGAGAGGUAACGGCUCCCAUAGGCUAUGAUAGGUAGGGGUUCUGAGAGGGAUACCCCCCACACUGGUACUGAGACACGGACCAGACUCCUACGGGAGGCAGCAGUGAGGAAUAUUGGACAAUGGGAGCAAUCCUGAUCCAGCCAUGCCGCGUGCAGGAAGACAGUCCUAUGGAUUGUAAACUGCUUUUAUACAGGAAGAAAAAAUCUGACUUGUCAGAUAUUGACGGUACUGUAUGAAUAAGAAUCGGCUAACUCCGUGCCAGCAGCCGCGGUAAUACGGAGGAUUCGAGCGUUAUCCGGAAUCAUUGGGUUUAAAGGGUUCGUAGGCGGGACAAUAAGUCAGUGGUGAAAGUUUGUGGCUCAACCAUAAAAUUGCCAUUGAUACUGUUGUUCUUGAGUUAUUGUGAAGUGGUUAGAAUGUGUAGUGUAGCGGUGA
rnacentral:rRNA from 1 species